CACUGAGAAGCUAAACUGGGUACAGCGUUAGCCUUUUAAGCUAAAAACUGGUGGACCCCAACCACCCUUAGUGA
rnacentral:tRNA from 1 species